GUGAGGGGAUCUUGCUGGAGAUCUUUGCAUUCCUGUGGCCUUCUGAAUCUCUAGAAUGCCUGAAGAUAUGGAACGCUUGCUCCAUAAAAAGAAGGGGACAAUGAUCUGAAUAGUUUGAGAAGAACUUUGUUUCGUCCUGCUACUUUUACUUAGUGAUGGAGAAGAAGAGGAGGAGCAAGUUAUAUGGAGAUACUUAGUGCAACAUCUGGCUGCCAGAAAAUGGGCCACUUAGUUUAUAAAAGGCACCUCCAGAUCACACGCACAGUGAUGUUCUUAUCAGAAACUUAAGUGUCUUCUAACAGGAUAAGCAGCUAUAAAUUCAUAGUGCCUUCCAGAUGGAUUGCAUUUGAUAUUAUCCAUGACUUUCCUAGCAAACCUAGAGGUUGUGGGAAAAUCUGCUUCAGCCAUAUGAAAUGGAAGAUAGAUGAGUACUGGUGAACAGAAUGAACAAUGAAUACAAUAACUUAGGCUUUAUUAUUAGUAAGAGGCCUUGAAUAUAUCCAAGGAUAUAAUGUCACAAAGGAUUGGAACCUCCAUAUGGAACUCAAGAAUGGGGGAACUGAAAGAGAGAAGAAAAUACCAACAUAAGGGGAUCACUCUGUACCAAACUGUUACUGCCUGAAAUCCCUUUGUGCUCUCCUGACAAUUCCAUCUAAUUUGCAUUGAAAGAGGUUAAAAGAUGACAGCUGUGCACAGUGUAUCAAUGCAUGAGAAAGAGAGUAAAUUUUGCAGUACAUUUUGUCAAACUGCAACAUAGAGCUGGCACUGGUCCAGAAGUAUGAAACAUACUGGCUUGGCUUGAAAGGAAAGUAAUAAUUAAAUAGUGUUAGUAACAUGAAUAAUAAAUAUGAACCAAUAAUUGGCUCUAUAAUAGCUAAUAGCUUCUUCAUUAUUAUUGUUGUUGAAUUUGUUUGUAUUGUAUAUUACUUCAGGGCCGAUUAUGAAAGGUGCUGCACGUGUGCAUACAUCAAUACACCUAUCUGUUCAUAUACACAGACAAAAUAUCUAUACACAGAAAAUACUGAGAAGGUCUUUGGCUUAAAAUUAGCACACUACGUUAUAUGCAUCAUAAUUCUAAGUAGUGGUAUUUCUUUGUAAUUGCUGUAACUCCAGAAAAAGUAAUGAAUGAAACUGAAGAGAAAAAGAUACACAUGACAUAAAGAUUGAAAGGAGGGAGAAUGAUAGUUGAGGAAGAAAAUAAACUAAAAGACAAUGGCAAUUGAUUUGAUAUAGGAUAUAUUGGUGUGGAGGAAUGGAGAUAAAUAACAAUUCCAGCUAUACCUUUGGGUUCUAAUCCUAUGUUAUUGAAAACAGCUUUAUAGACUUCAGUAAGCAUAGAUUUCUGCCUUGACAGGAUUAAAUCUAGAAAACGACAAAUGAGACAUUAAUCCAGUUUCUUCAUUCACUUCAAUUCUGUAGUAACAAGAACAUUCAAUGAAUGUCUUCUGAGUGAGCUGGUUUUCAGAAUUUUUCUGUAUAAAAAGGGAAAGUAAUGGAAAUGCAGAAAUGACAGUUAAUUGUCUACAUUAUGAAAAAAAAAUUUAAAUUUUUUCAUACUUUGAAGCCUACAUCGCCUAAAACUUCAUUUGAAACUAUUGGCUUAUUUUUACAGCUGCCUGCUCUCACCUUUAUUCAUGUUGACUUUGCUGAGGCAGCACUGCCUUCUGUCAGUCUUGUACACUGGAAGGACUACAUCUAGAAGAGCAGGUUGACUCAGCAAGCGUAAGAUCAGCAGGCUGGUGAAAGCCAAUUUCAGCAGGAGGAUUUGAAAGUUAUUAUAUAAGUUGCUCUGCAACCUGUUCAGCAAAACAGAUGGAGAGUAGAGGCCAGAUGCAAGGGCAGAGCUGAGUAAGAAUACAAGGAUAAUAGGACAGACAGGGAAUAUCAGAAAUAGACAAGUAAAUAAAAGAGUGAGGAAGAAGAGAUUUCUUUAAAAACAGAAUGACACUAGACUAUCUUAAAGAAAUAUAUUGCUCAGCCUCUAAUUUGAACUUCAUAGUCAUUUAUACAAAAUAUUCUUGGGUGAAUAUACAGAUGUAUAUUAAUUUUUUGUAGAGUAGACAUUUAAUAGUUGGUGUUUACCUGACCUAAGCAUUAUUUUAAAUAGCAGAUUAUUUUAAGACCAAAUUAGCUUUCUCUUGUAGAUCUCUGCACUUCCACUGAGAAAGAAAAAACACCUACUAUUUUACAGUAUUAUUCAUAUUCAUGAUACAAUAUAAAAUGAUCAGCAUCGCAGAUUUGAUAGAAUAUAAUUGCACUCUGAACAUUUUGUAUUUGUUCAUGUAGAGCAUUCUCAUAUUGUUCUGGUGAAGCUGGUGAUGUUUAUGUUUACAGCUGUACAAGGAUACAAUAGAUACUUUUCUGUUAUUCUGGUACGGAGAUUGUUUUCUAGGCUUUGCCAUAUAUGUUGUUCAGUAUAAUAUCACAAAUAGUUGUUUGACAGUCUAUACAACACAUCUAUUAUUCAUACAUUAUUCUACUAAUCAGCUUUUAUUGUGCUACACAUUUUUAUGAUUCAGUAAUUCCUUUAGCAAAUAUUUAUUAAAGAUUUGAGUGCAACUAUCAUUCUGUAAGAAGUGUUUAUAUUAUGUUUUGCAUGGUUUUUCUUUUUUUCCUGAAGCCUUAAUAUUUAUGUAAGCACAUUUCUGGCAUAUCUCUGCUAAACAGUAAAAUUGUAGCCUGCUCCUAAGUUUUCUAGAAGAAAACAGAGGUCUUGUUGCUAAUCAAAAAGACUUCAAAAUAAGUUCAUUAAGUAAUAUAUUUUCUAUCUUCUGUGUAGCAUGGGUAGGCUAACAAAUAGAGAAAGCUAAAUUUGGCUCAUUUAAACUAAAUUCAUCAUAGUUGUGCCUUUCUAGCUCAUGAAUAUUGGCUGGAUAACCUGCUAUGGAGUUUGAACUUUCUUACACUGUGUCAAGAUCAGAAAAAUGAUGACAUUAAAACGCACACUGCUAAGGAAAAAUAAUAAUCUAAUUUUACCUAAGAUGAACAAAAUUAACCUUCAUUUGAAUAGGACAGCAUAUAGAGCAUUUGGCAACCUGAAACUGUCCUUUUCUGAGGACACAGAAGACAGUGACGAAACAGCCUAUAUGCCAGCUUAAAACUUUGUUCUUAGAGGCUUUUACACAUGAGUAAGUGCUAAAUAAUAAUAAUAAGCAGAGGCUGAAACAAACUGCUGGUAUCUGAAUGGUGUCAACGCAGUCAAGAUAAAGAACUGGAGCUCUUCAAGUGAGUCGGGGUGUGACAAAAUCUGUACUGAUGAAUGCUGACAUCCUGAAUAAAAUCACUACAUGACUUCACGUAGGUCAAGAAACUACAUUGUUUCCCUGAGCCACAAUGACAGCAGGGUGACAGAGAUUAAUAGCUUUGUAUUGACUGAGCAACUUCCAGUUCCUUAUCUUUGUCAAGUCAAGGCUCUGUCCAAGAGCUGAAAUUGUUAUUAGACUUAUAAUUGCAAAGACAUUUAAAGGGUUUCCCCUUAAGGGACUAUGAAAUCCAAUAAACCUUUCAUAAAACCUCAAGCAUUCAAGUGCAAAACCCUUGUCUCAGAGACAGGCAUGCUCACAGCCAUAACAGGGGAAACC